AGCCAGGGCCUGAGUUCCCUGGCGGAAGAGGCAGCGCGUGCGACCGAGAACCCGGAGCAGGUGGCGAGCGAGGGUCUCCCGGAGCCCGUGCUGCGCAAAGUCGAGCUCCCGGUACCCACUCAUCGACGCCCAGUGCAGGCCUGGGUCGAGUCCUUGCGGGGCUUCGAGCAGGAGCGCGUGGGCCUGGCCGACCUGCACCCCGAUGUUUUCGCCACCGCGCCCAGGUGAGCGAGGGCUGUAAUGGUGAACUGAGUGGCAGAGGGAUGAAGAGCGGGAUUUCAGGAGUCACGAUGACUUUGGGCUUGUACCCUUGGGAAAGUGCUGUAUUUCUACAGCCUCCGUUUCUCCACCUGUCAAAGGGGAAUGAUGACAGUUUCCCCUGCUGUAGCGCUGUGUGAGAUUGAAGCCUGAGAGGUGACAUCAUCUAAGGGUUAGGGAGACAGAAUUCUGGAGCCCGACUGAUUAGGUUCAAAUCCUGCCUUCCCCUCUUGUCCCUCAGUGUCCCUAUUUUGUCAGCGGUCGGGAGGUUGCUGUGAUGAAUAAAUGACUUAA
rnacentral:lncRNA from 10 species